rnacentral:rRNA from 1 species
CACGUAGGUGGCAAGCGUUAUCCGGAAUUACUGGGCGUAAAGGGUCCGCAGGUGGGGCGGUAAGUCUGGUGUGACAGCGCAUGGCUCAACUAUGCGUGGCCACUGGAAACUCCCACUCUUGAGUCACGGAGAGGGGUGCGGAAUUCCGGGUGUAGUGGUGGAAUGCGUAGAGAUCCGGAGGAACACCAACGGCGCAAGCAGCACCCUGGCCGAGGACUGACACUGAGGGACGAAAGCGUGGGGAGCGAACAGG